CAAGGGAUCAUUACCGAGUUUACAGCUCCCAAACCCAAUGUGAACGUUACCAAACUGUUGCCUCGGCGGGGUCACGCCCCGGGUGCGUCGCAGCCCCGGAACCAGGCGCCCGCCGGAGGAACCAACCAAACUCUUUCUGUAGUCCCCUCGCGGACGUAUUUCUUACAGCUCUGAGCAAAAAUUCAAAAUGAAUCAAAACUUUCAACAACGGAUCUCUUGGUUCUGGCAUCGAUGAAGAACGCAGCGAAAUGCGAUAAGUAAUGUGAAUUGCAGAAUUCAGUGAAUCAUCGAAUCUUUGAACGCACAUUGCGCCCGCCAGUAUUCUGGCGGGCAUGCCUGUCCGAGCGUCAUUUCAACCCUCGAACCCCUCCGGGGGAUCGGCGUUGGGGAUCGGGACCCCUCACACGGGUGCCGGCCCCGAAAUACAGUGGCGGUCUCGCCGCACCCUCUCCUGCGCAGUAGUUUGCACAACUCGCACCGGGAGCGCGGCGCGUCCACGUCCGUAAAACACCCAACUUUCUGAAAUGUUGACCUCGGAUCAGGAAUGAAUACCCGCUGAACUUAAGCAUAUCAGGUAGGGAGAGGGAA
rnacentral:rRNA from 1 species